UUUACUUAUAGUAAAACAUAUGAUAAUUAUUUUCUCUCAGACGUGAUGCAAUUUAUUCUCUACCAAAGCCAGGAGAAGAACCAUCUUACAUCGGUGGCUUGGCUUACUUAGGAGCUGCUUGUAAUCCGGAUUCCAAAUUUGCAUUAGCACUAUUUAGCCAUCUUAUGCAGUAUAUGGUUGAUACCUUUAUUCACGAACUUGGACACCUAAUCAAUAUUAAUCACGAUUGGGAAGCUAAAAAUUGCUCACCCAAAUUGCUACCUGGAAAAAAACGUUAUUCUUAUUGCGCUAAGAAAGGCGUAACAGAAUUUUUAGAUACACACUCGUGUUUUCUUGAUCACUGUGACAAUGGUGAGAAAUGAGAGUGGAUAUCUCCAUAAAUCGACUACGUCAUCGAUUGACAAUAAUUGUUCCUAUAUUAAAUUUAAACUACAACUAUUGUAACUCAAUGUCACGUAUAAACGUUGAAAAAGUUCUCAAUGUAACUAU